AGAGAUUUCAUUUAUGUAUUAGGGUUGCCUCGUUAAGUGUGCAAGACAGAGAAAAAAAGAAGAAAUUUUUUUUCUCUUCUCCGACCGCCCCCCUCUCUGCCAACUUCACAGUCGCAACUGACGUUGCUAGACUGUCAAGAAUGACACCACCAUCUUCACCACCCAGUUGAAGUCUGCACAUCCACGUGCCGUUCGUGCGACUCAGCCAUCCAACAUUCGAUGGCAGACCCAGCUGGCGUCUCUAGACAUGCGAGGUCCUUCUAGUAGCUGCGCUAGCUUCCUUCGGACGCCAAAGGCCUAGCCAACCUUCUGUUCAUCGAACGGACGCGGGCAACCACUUCUAUCGCCGGAUUGAUGUCAAAUCUCGAUGGAUUCUUGUUUUGGGUAAAUGUAAAGAUAGACCGGUGAAUGAUCAGUGGAAUCUGUGACUCGGCUGUUGGGACUUGACAUUGCUUCCGCACUUUUUUUUUAUUUUUUAUUUUUUUUUAAAUUGACAUGAUUUGGUUUAAGAGUCUAGCAAUUAAAACUCUUGGUUAAUUCUUUUAUUCAUUUGUUAAUUUAUUCUAAAUUAGAGUCUAUGGUAUCCUAAUCGGUAUUUUAAGGUUUUUAUUAUUUUAGAGUUUUAUUUAAUGAAAUAAAAGUUUUUAUUUCUUUUA